AGUGAACGCUGGCGGUAGGCCUAACACAUGCAAGUCGAACGACCGCACAGUAAGCGCUUGCCCUUACGGUUGGCGGCUGACGGACGGGUGAGAAAUACAUCGGAAUCUACUUUUUCUUGGGGAAUAACGUGGGAAAACUUCCGCUAAUACCGCAUACGUCCUACGGGUGAAAUCAGGGGAUCUUCGGACCUUGCCCGUUUGAUUGAGCCGAUGUCGGAUUAGCUAGUUGGCGGGGUAAAGGCCCACCAAGGCGACGAUCCGUAGCUGGUCUGAGAGGAUGAUCAGCCACACUGGAACUGAGACACGGUCCAGACUCCUACGGGAGGCAGCAGUGGGGAAUAUUGGACAAUGGGCGCAAGCCUGAUCCAGCCAUACCGCGUGGGUGAAGAAGGCCUUCGGGUUGUAAAGCCCUUUUGUUGGGAAAGAAAAGCAGCAGGUUAACACCCCGCUGUUCUGACGGUACCCAAAGAAUAAGCACCGGCUAACUUCGUG
rnacentral:rRNA from 1 species